GAGAUAAAAAGAAUAAGGCGUACGAGGAGAUGUCAACCAAGCUAACGGAAAUUGAUUCAUCGGCAACAAUAGAAAUAGUGAAAAUGAGAAUUGACUCGAUUCGAGGAACAUCUUUUUUUAAAACAUGGUAUAUAUCUCUACCGGUUUCUGGUAGGAAGUGUCCCAAAACUUGGGGAGAUAUUUAUCGCUGAAAAUUUCAAAUCUUCGUAGCUUCUUCCGGUAGCGAUAAAUCUCAAAGUGGCUGUUCAUGGGUGGGUUAUACUUUGACGAGAGGCUAAACCGCCCAGUCCUUACCAACGUUGCCAAGUGUACCCAGUUUGUAUUUCGCGGGAAAUUACAAAAUAUACUUUAAAAAUCAGGUUAUGUGUUAGAACUUGCUUUUGUUAUACUGCGGUUUCUUUUUUUAUCUACCUGUAAAGAAAUUUGAAUUCAGAAAAUGCCAGUUAUAUGAGGUAUAUGUGAGAAAGUAUAUGCCACACAAUCAUCUCAUAACAGACAUAUACGAGAAGUGCACCAAAAAAAUCCAGAGCCUGUAUCUUAUUCAUCUCAGAAGGGAUGCGGUGCAAUUUUUAGUAGUCGUUGCCUUGAAGCAGAUUGUGAUUUUGCAUCCAAAACCCAUAAGAAUUUAGUGGACCAUUUGCAGAGAAUUCGUCUGCUGAAGUUUGAAACAGAGUGUCAUGUUAUGAAAAAUAUAAAUGAUUUUGAAAUUUGGAAAUCAAAUACUGAAACAAUUAACAAUUGCUCUUAUGUUUUGAAAAGUAGGAAUGCUAGUACUAUUGGUGAAAUAGUGUACCUAUUACAAGUGCAACAGGAGUACAAGUUACUAUAUAUCCCCAGUGACAACAGUAAUCGAAGACAUAUAUUGUUGAAGAGCCAGGGAUCUUGUAAGAUAAAUAGUUUUUGCACAAGUGAAAUCAAAGUUGUUGAAGAAAACAAAAUUCUGGUAGAGUGGCAAAAAGUACAUUAUGGUCGUAAGCUUGAUAUACAACAUUAGAUUGUCAAAAACUGAAAAACAAAAUAUUGCCACAAAGAUAACAAAUGGUGUUGCACCUCAAAGGUAAUCAUAUUUUAUACUUAUGUUAUCAUCAGAGACUCAUUAAUAAACAAUUCUUAUCCCAAUGUCUGCAGAAUCCUGUGAUUUAAAUAUAAAAUAGCAUCUAAAUAUUCACUUAUCAAUUUUGAAUUAUUCACCUUCUACCAGAAUCCUGUGAAUAACCUAACCAAUUUUUUCACAGAAUCUGGGAAUUCACUCGUGAUAAUAUUUGUGAACAUUUGAAAAAAGCAGAUUUGUUAACUACUAAGGAUCUGAGGAAUAUAAAAAUAAGCUAUGGUCUUGAAUUGAAAGAUGGAAAGCGAGAUUCGAAUGAUGCCUUUUCUGUGGCUCUUUGGGUGAAGGAAUGUGAAAAUCUCAAAGGAAAUCCUAUUUUGUUUAAUAAAGAGUAAGGAAAGGACCAUAGUAUUUCAAGAAAAGAGGACUUGCUUGAUAAUAAUGAACACAUUUCAAAGACAAAUGAUGAAACAGUUUCCAUCUACAAUUACCAUCGAUAGUACCCAAGGCCUCAAUGACUAUGAUUUUGAAAUGACAACCAUUAUGGUCUUAGAUGAAUAUCACCAUGGUUUUCCAGUAGCUGAAAUGUUCACAAAUAGAAAAGAUACCAUACUGCAGAGUGUACUAUUUCAGCAAUCAAGGACACCAUGUGUAUGUACAAUUUCACAUUAGUUUGUUUUGGUGGUGGUUGGUACUUAUAGUUGUUUUAUUUCAGGAGUUAUUCAUUGUAAAUUUUUCAUGUCAGAUAUGGCUGAGGUGUUUUUUAACGCAUGGUAUGGGGUGAUGGGUCCGCCUUAUCCACAACACUUAUUUUGAUCCUGACAUGUUGACAGAGCUUGGCAGAGCCAAUUUAAAUAAAAUUUCCACUAAGGACAAGCGUUCAGAAAUUUACAAAAUACUAAAAAUAUUGCAACAAAAAACUAUUGAAUCGAACUUUGUUUCGGCUUUGGAUAAUGCUUUGAGUUAUAUGUGCAACAAUGAAGUCACAAGACAUUUUGCAGAGUAUUUUUCUAAUACCUACAGUCAUAAUUUAAAAAAAUGGGCUUACUGUUUCAGAAAAGAAGCUAGCAUUAACAAAUAUGCAUUUGGAGUUCAUGCAAAAAGUAAUCAAGUAUUUUUACUUGGAAAGAAAGACAGUAAAACGCCUUGACAAGAGUUUAAACAUGGUAUUGAAAUAUGUGAGAGACAAGAGUGUAAAACGAAUUAUUACAUUGAGCAAGGGUGAACAUACCAAACAAACAAGAUUGAUAUCUCAGAAUCACGAGGAGGCAAUUGAAAAUAGGGAAGAGUAUACAAUUUUGAAAAUUGGUGAUAACUGGAAAAUUUCCAAAAAUCAAAAUAUUUCAUAUACUAUCGAAAUGCUGUGAACAAUAAUUAUGUUUGUUCUGUGAGGUGUGUAUUCAUAUGUUUUCAUGUGAGUGCAAAUUCUAUACAGAAAGAAAAAUUAUGCGCAAACAUAUCCAUAUGACGAUAAAAAAAUCUACGAAAACAGGAAAACAUUUUAAUUCGACUGAUAGAGACAUUUCAAGAUCUGAAUGCUCAUCAGCUCUGGGAAAAGAACAUCAAGAAUCAAACAUAGGACG